UACGAAGGGUGCAAGCGUUACUCGGAAUUACUGGGCGUAAAGCGUGCGUAGGUGGUUUGUUAAGUCUGAUGUGAAAGCCCUGGGCUCAACCUGGGAAUGGCAUUGGAUACUGGCGAGCUAGAGUGCGGUAGAGGGUAGUGGAAUUCCCGGUGUAGCAGUGAAAUGCGUAGAGAUCGGGAGGAACAUCUGUGGCGAAGGCGAGUCCCUGGACAACACCUGACACUGAGGCACGAAAGCGUGGGGAGCAAACAGG
rnacentral:rRNA from 1 species